UACGUAGGGAGCAAGCGUUGUCCGGAAUCAUUGGGCGUAAAGCGCGCGUAGGUGCCUCAUAAGUCCGCUGUGAAAGUCAAAGGCUCAACCUUUGAAAGCCGGUGGAUACUGUGAGGCUAGAGUACGGAAGAGGCGAGUGGAAAUUCCUGGUGUAGCGGUGGGAAUGCGCAGAUAUCAGGAGGAACACCAAUAGCGAAGGCAGCUCGCUGGGACGUUUACUGACACUGAGGCGCGAAAGCGUGGGGAGCGAACAGG
rnacentral:rRNA from 1 species